rnacentral:rRNA from 1 species
UACGUAGGCAGCAAGCGUUGUUCGGAGUUACUGGGCGUAAAGGGUGUGUAGGCGGUUCUUUAAGUUUGGUGUGAAAUCUCCCGGCUCAACUGGGAGGGUGCGCCGAAUACUGAGGGACUAGAGUACGGGAGAGGAAAGUGGAAUUCCUGGUGUAGCGGUGAAAUGCGUAGAUAUCAGGAGGAACACCGGUGGUGUAGACGGCUUUCGUGGACCGUAACUGACGCUGAAACACGAAAGCGUGGGUAGCAAACAGG